rnacentral:rRNA from 1 species
GAACGCUGGCGGCGUGCUUAACACAUGCAAGUCGAGCGGAAAGGCCCUUCGGGGUACUCGAGCGGCGAACGGGUGAGUAACACGUGAGCAACCUGCCCUAGGCUUUGGGAUAACCCCGGGAAACCGGGGCUAAUACCGAAUAUGACUUCUGGUCGCAUGACCGGUGGUGGAAAGUUUUUCGGCCUGGGAUGGGCUCGCGGCCUAUCAGCUUGUUGGUGGGGUGAUGGCCUACCAAGGCGACGACGGGUAGCCGGCCUGAGAGGGCGACCGGCCACACUGGGACUGAGACACGGCCCAGACUCCUACGGGAGGCAGCAGUGGGGAAUAUUGCACAAUGGGCGGAAGCCUGAUGCAGCGACGCCGCGUGAGGGAUGACGGCCUUCGGGUUGUAAACCUCUUUCAGCAGGGACGAAGCGUAAGUGACGGUACCUGCAGAAGAAGCGCCGGCCAACUACGUGCCAGCAGCCGCGGUAAGACGUAGGGCGCGAGCGUUGUCCGGAUUUAUUGGGCGUAAAGAGCUCGUAGGCGGC